UACGGGAGGCAGCAGUGGGGAAUAUUGCACAAUGGGCGAAAGCCUGAUGCAGCUAUGCCGCGUGUAUGAAGAAGGCCUUAGGGUUGUAAAGUACUUUCAUCGGGGAGGAAAAAACAAAACUAAUAAUUUUAUUUCUUGACGUUACCCGAAAAAGAAGCACCAGCUAACUCCGUGCCAGCAGCCGCGGUAAUACGGAGGGUGCUAGCGUUAAUCAGAAUUACUGGGCGUAAAAGAGCACGUAGGUGGUUUUUUUAAGUCAGAUGUGAAAAUCCCUGGGCUUAAACCUAGGAACUGCAUUUUGAAAACUGAAAAUACUAGAGUAUCGUAGAGGGAGGUAGAAAUUCUAGGUGUAGCGGUGAAAAUGCGUAGAUAUCUGGAGGAAUACCUGUGGCGAAAAGCGGCCUCCUAAAACGAAUAACUGACACUGAAGGGUGCGAAAAGCGUGGGGAGCAAAACAAGGGAUUAAGAUACC
rnacentral:rRNA from 1 species